rnacentral:misc_RNA from 1 species
UGCCGCAGCAGCCGACGCAUGCUUGCAGCUGUGUUCCGUAAGUGUUGUGUGGUGUUCCCUAGCAUUUAGGUUUCUCGUGUGUUGCAUGUGGCGUUGGUUGUUUGCAAUACUGCUGCGUUGGAAGCUUCCUCUACGGAUACACGCUGUAAAGACUUGGAAAAGUGCCCACACCGGAGCACGUUAUUGCGCGCCGAGCCGCAAUGGUGAACUGCGCCGUCUACGGUUGUUCCAACCGGUCAAAAAACAAACCCAACGAUGAGAACUUUCAACCGCUGGGCUUCUAUGUCGUGCCCAAAGUCAAAGAAGGACAGUGUCUUAGGACAGCUGAGCUGUCUUCAAGGCGCAGAGCUCUGUGGCUGAGCAGAAUUCGUCGCAAAGACCUGGACGAAUUGGCGACGCAUUACCGAGUUUGCGGGGCGCAUUUCAUCACAGGUAAGCACGGCAGCGGCAUUAAAGCUUAGUUUUUUAGCGCAAUUCUUUGCAUGCAGCUCUGUAACGUACCAGUGGGCUAUAUUUUUCAGGACGACCAGCUUAUUUGAUGGAUGAGGCUAAUCCCGACUGGGCGCCGAGCCUCAAUCUCGGCUACAAGUCCACGACGCACGCUGGAAGAAGCGCAAGCGACAGGUGCAAAUUAAUUUUGUACGCAGUCAAACAAGUGAUUAUGAACUAAUCGAACUAAUUUUUUACAGGUAUAUGCGACUCAAGCAACGAAGGCGCGCGAGUUCUGCAGCCAACGCCUUUGAAUUAAGGCAGCGACCGGAGAGCGCGAGCACGAACGCGGCGCCCAUCGCUGCAGGAACGGCGGCCGAGGAGAUUUCUUUCAGUGACGAAGAAUCCCCCUCAUCAGAACAAACUGCAAUGCAACACCUUGUAGGCCAUGCAUGUAAGCUAAGUAAACAUUUAUGCAUUCGUACUUAAGAGAGUAUGGAGCUCUGGAGCAUGGCAAUUGCUCAUUUAGGCUUCUGUGUUAUGUGCGCAAGGACGUUUGUCUUUGAAUUCUCACAGCUGAUCGAAUA